rnacentral:rRNA from 1 species
GUGAGGAAUAUUGGUCAAUGGACGAGAGUCUGAACCAGCCAAGUCGCGUGAAGGAAGACGGUUCUAUGAAUUGUAAACUUCUUUUGUGCAGGAAUAAAGUGGGUUACGUGUAACCUUUUGUAUGUACUGUACGAAUAAGGAUCGGCUAACUCCGUGCCAGCAGCCGCGGUAAUACGGAGGAUCCAAGCGUUAUCCGGAUUUAUUGGGUUUAAAGGGUGCGCAGGCGGUUUGAUAAGUCAGCGUUGAAAGUUUGCAGCUUAACUGUAAAAUUGCCGUUGAAACUGUCGGUCUUGAGUGCAAAUGAGGUAGGCGGAAUGUGUUGUGUAGCGGUGAAAUGCUUAGAUAUAACACAGAACUCCGAUUGCGAAGGCAGCUUACUGGGAUGCAACUGACACUGAUGCACGAAAGCGUGGGUAUCAAACAGGAUUAGAUACCCUGGUAGUCC